rnacentral:rRNA from 1 species
GAUGAACGCUGGCGGCGUGCCUAAUACAUGCAAGUCGAGCGCACGGACUUGAUGCUUGUUUCUCUGAUAUUAGCGGCGGACGGGUGAGUAACACGUGGGUAACCUACCUUUAAGACUGGGAUAACUUCUGGAAACGAGUGCUAAUACCGCAUGAUAUCUUUAACCACAUGUUUCAAGAUUGAAAGAUGGUCUUGCUUUCCUCUAUAGAUAUAUCCGCUCUUCUUUAGCUAUUUGGUAAGGUAACGGAUUACCAAGGGAACGAUGCAAGCCCAACCUGAGAGGGUGAUCGGCAACACUGGAACUGAGAAACGGUCAAGACUCCUACGGGAGGAGGCAGUGGGGAAUCUCGGGAAAUGAGGGAAAGCCCGACGGAGAAAGGCGGCGGGAGGGAGGAAGGUCUUGGGAUCGUAAAACUCGGUUAUUAGGGAAGAACAUAGGGGGAAGUAAAUGUGCACAAAUUGACGGUACCUAAUCAGAAAGCGACGGCUAACUACGUG